CAAGAAGGGGUUGCUUCUUA
rnacentral:miRNA from 1 species